AAGGAGGCUACUGAUUCUGGCCCUGUGACACUUGGUGGUGACGUGUGAGCUGAUUCACCUGGACACUCAGCAAAAUAUGGACUCUACACCAUGAGGCAGGCACACGUUAAUAUUCUAUAAGAGCACAUAAGCAUGAGGAUGUCCUCACACACCUGUAACCUAUCAGCUCAUCUGGCAGAAUAGAGAGAGAAGAGACAACACCACAUCUCCUGUUCCUGGAAAGCCUUCAGCCUUCCUUCGAUGACUGAGAACCUCCAUCAGCUCUGUCUCCUGUCUGCCUACAAUUAUUAUAAUAAAUAUUGUGUUUGACAA